UUGAAAAUACCGGGGUAACUGAAACAUCUCAGUACCCCGAGGAAAAGAAAUCAACCGAGAUUCCCCCAGUAGCGGCGAGCGAACAGGGAGCAGCCCAGAGUCAACAUCAAUAUUUACCGCAGGAGAAAGAUCUGGAAAGGCCGGCAAUAAAGGGUGAUAGCCCCGUAUCUGAAGCGGUAAGUGUUGUGAACUCGAAGAGUAAGGCGGGACACGUGUUAUCCUGUCUGAAUAUGGGGGGACCAUCCUCCAAGGCUAAAUACUCCUGACUGACCGAUAGUGAACCAGUACCGUGAGGGAAAGGCGAAAAGAACCCCGGCGAGGGGAGUGAAAUAGAACCUGAAACCGUGUACGUACAAGCAGUAGGAGCACCCGAAAAGGUGUGACUGCGUACCUUUUGUAUAAUGGGUCAGCGACUUAUAUUCUGUAGCAAGGUUAACCGCAUAAGGGAGCCGUAGGGAAACCGAGUCUUAACUGGGCGUUAAGUUGCAGGGUAUAGACCCGAAACCCGGUGAUCUAGCCAUGGGCAGGUUGAAGGUUGGGUAACACUAACUGGAGGACCA
rnacentral:rRNA from 1 species